CGCACACACACACUCUCUCUCCUCCUCUUCUGUUCUUCCUCUCUCUCUUCGAUCUCCACCUCUUUUCGCCUUUGUCCCUCUAUCAUCCUCUUCUCUUCUUCCUCAAUUCAAGAUCGAGUUGGUUGGUCCUAGCAACGGCGCAAGGAGUUGAUACAAACCCAUCACCUUUCAUCGUUUCCCCCUCUCGAAAUGAUCGAUGUUCUGGAAGGAAUCAAAAGGCUAGAAUUUGGUUGCCAAGGAAGCCAUGGAAUUUGAGAUCAAAGUUGGAGCAACUCGGAAUAAUGGUGGAAGAUGUUUGAAGAAGGCACAGAGCAAUUCAGGUUGAAUGUAGCUCAGAACCCAGAUGAUACAGAGGAGUCAAUUUGGUGUUUCCUUUGUGAAGCUUGACUAUAUGGGGUUGAUGAAGCUAGGAAACGAUAUCUUGAGAAUUGAAGGUAAGAAGGGUUUGGGAGCUUAGCUUGAUUAUGCUGAAGAGGCUUAAUUUUCCAAAAGGUUAACAACAAUAGGGGGGUCUUUGCGCUAUUGCUCAGUGUGGGUCUCUUCGUUACAAGCUUCUUGGAGUCGCUCUGCAGUUAGAAGGGUUUAUUUGAGGAAUGUUUUGGGUUCAUCUAGAGUUUACCACUCGACUUCCAUCCCUGCUGCCCCACCAUAUCCCGUGCUCCUCCUCGCAGCUUAGUUUUCUACUGUAAAUUAAUCGAAGUAGUGUUGUAUUGUUGAGCUAGUUGAUUAUUUUAAUUAUUAGGUGAUAAUUAUUAGCUUGGUUUUCUACUGUAAAAUACUUUUUUUAUUUUAAUUAUUAGGUGAUAAUUGAACAUUGAUGAUUGUAUAUGAGAUUUUCUACUGUACCAUGCAUUAAACAUAAUUUCUCUCAUUAGUUAAUUCAUAAAAUGAUUG